rnacentral:lncRNA from 1 species
AAAUCAGAUUGUAAGGGUAGAUAACUCUAGGUGCUAGAGGUCACGUUUCUACAAGAAAGGAAAUAUGUCGGCAACUAAUUUAUCUGAUGAAACUCAACAACGUAAUGUAAAGGAUUUCUUGUUACUGUAUAACAAACUCACUGAGCAAUGUUUUCAGAAUUGUGUAUCAAUAUUUUUUGAG